rnacentral:rRNA from 1 species
UACAGGGGUCUCGAGCGUUACUCGGAAUUACUGGGCUUAAAGCGUGCGCAGGCGGGCCGUUAAGUGCCCUGUGAAAGCCCCCGGCUCAACCGGGGAAGUGCAGGGCAUACUGGCGGUCUUGAGGAAGGUAGGCGCCGACAGAACUGUAGGUGGGGCGGUGAAAUGCGUAGAUAUCUACAGGAAUGCCGAUGGGGAAGCCGGUCGGCUGGGCCUUUCCUGACGCUCAUGCACGAAAGCGUGGGGAGCAAACGGG